rnacentral:tRNA from 1 species
UCCUGGGUGGCUCAGAUGGUAAAGUGUCUGCUUACAAUGCGGAAGACCCAGGUUCAAUCCCUGGGUGGGGAA